GACGAACGCUGGCGGCGUGCCUAAUACAUGCAAGUAGAACGCUGAAGGAGGGGCUUGCUUCUUUGGAUGAGUUGCGCACGGGUGAGUAACGCGUAGGUAACCUGCCUGGUAGCGGGGGAUAACUAUUGGAAACGAUAGCUAAUACCGCAUACUAGUAGAUGUUGCAUGACAUUUGCAUAAAAGGUGCAAUUGCAUCACUACCAGAUGGACACGCGUUGUAUUUGCUAGUAGGUGGGGUAACGGCUCACCCAGGCGACGAUACAUAGCCGACCUGGGAGGGGGAUCGGCCACACUGGGACGGAGACACGGCCCAGACUCCUACGGGAGGCAGCAGUAGGGAAUCUUCGGCAAUGGGGGGAAGUCUGACCGAGCAACGCCGAGUGAGUGAAGAAGGUUUUCGGAUCGUAAAGCUCUGUUGUAAGUGAAGAACGGGUGUGAGAGUGGAAAGUUCACACUGUGACGGUAGCUUACCAGAAAGGGACGGCUAACUACGUG
rnacentral:rRNA from 1 species